AGGGUGUUUGAAGUAAACUACACUUUGUAUUUUUUGUUUACUUCAGAUAUCUCAGAAAAAGUAAAGAAAAACAAACAAAGGAAAUCUGUGAAUACUAUAGAGAAUAAAAAAAGGUCUUGAAUGCAGACAAACCAUGUUAGCUUUUGAGAACGCAAGUUGCUCCAGUCCUAACUGUUGUCGUGAUAUAUAUCUUCUUACUUCAAAGGCCAGAAACAUCUCAGAGAGAAGCACAUCAUCCUGUCUCUGUUUUGCUGAUCGAAUGUACCCGACAACAGUGAAUAAUACCGAAAACGAAUCAAUAGCAAUAUUCAACGAUGUCAGGAAAUGUUGUGAAGGGAUAAUUUAUGUGUUUUUAGAUGAGAUAUCAACACAGAGUUCCACAUUUGUCUACGAUAUUAAGAAACCAGAAGACACCACCUAAGCCUUCAUUUCAACAGCAACCAACAUCAUCUCAACCAACAAAGAGGAAGACAGUCUCUGCAUGAGCAACAUGUCGUUUUUUUUUUUAUCAGUUUGACGAUUAAUAUCCUGCUUCUUGUCCUAUUGCUUUUUAUGCUCUAUGUUGGUUGGAGAAAAGCUCACAAUCGUGACCCUAAAUACGUGACCGCUGGAGACGUUCAAAGACAAAGUGACCGUGUAUAUACACAGCUUGAUGUACCUCUAGAAGGAACUGGGUCAGCAACGGAAUACGUAGAGCCAGUAACACGUCCGAGGAACGAAAAUCAAAGACAUUCAAUAACCAACGAAACUCCUCAAUACUGUGAAGUUAUCGCCUGACUUUUUUGAGCGAGACAAAACCCUUCUCAACGUAACCUUUCUUAACGAAGCUUCAAAUUUGAAAGAUAGAUAAGAUUAAUUUCAGAGAUAUUGUACACUAAAUGUUUCUUAUAGAUUUCUGUAAUCUUGAUUUCAAAAGCUUUGGAUUUCAAACUAUUAAAAUUAAUUCUUU